rnacentral:rRNA from 1 species
UACGGAGGGUGCAAGCGUUGUUCGGAAUCAUUGGGCGGAAAGCGCGUGUAGGCGGCUUGGCAAGUCGGUUGUGAAAUCCCGGGGCCCAACCCCGGAACUGCAUUCGAAACUGCCUCGCUAGAGUCCCGGAGAGGAAGGCGGAAUUCCCGGUGUAGAGGUGAAAUUCGUAGAUAUCGGGAGGAACACCAGCGGCGAAGGCGGCCUUCUGGACGGUGACUGAUGCUGAGACGCGAAAGCGUGGGGAGCAAACAGG